GACGAACGCUGGCGGCGUGCUUAACACAUGCAAGUCGAACGAAGAGCGAUGGAAGCUUGCUUCUAUCAAUCUUAGUGGCGAACGGGUGAGUAACGCGUAAUCAACCUGCCCUUCAGAGGGGGACAACAGUUGGAAACGACUGCUAAUACCGCAUACGAUCCAAUCUCGGCAUCGGGACUGGAUGAAAGGUGGCCUCUAUUUAUAAGCUAUCACUGAAGGAGGGGAUUGCGUCUGAUUAGCUAGUUGGAGGGGUAACGGCCCACCAAGGCGAUGAUCAGUAGCCGGUCUGAGAGGAUGAACGGCCACAUUGGGACUGAGACACGGCCCAGACUCCUACGGGAGGCAGCAGUGGGGAAUCUUCCGCAAUGGACGAAAGGCGGACGGAGCAACGCCGCGUGAGUGAUGACGGCCUUCGGGUUGUAAAGCUCUGUUAAUCGGGACGAAUGGUUCUUGUGCGAAUAGUGCGAGGAUUUGACGGUACCGGAAUAGAAAGCCACGGCUAACUACGUG
rnacentral:rRNA from 1 species